UGCCUAGAAGCAUCCGCUAGCCCAAGACAAGCAUGCACGUUGCGCGGGAGCGGCCGCAUACAAGAAUUCGCGGUGAGAACGUCGUCGACCGCAUUACCGCCAACCCACAAAGGACUGCGAUCUCAAGGCCUUGCUCCUUCAGCUGUAGCGCGACGUGAGCCCUGCCAUUUCACUUUCAAGAUACGUAAGCUGCUUCGACCCUGAAAAUGCCGACGCAAUGGUGCAUCUGAACAGCCAAUGGAUACCAUGCCCACUCUGUAACGACCAGUGCUUUUAAUGAAACAGCACAGCAGAAUAGUCAACCACGUGAGGCACCUCAGACAGCAUAUGCAGUGGGUUGUGACGGAUUUAAUGAUUUCAUCAGCAUUUUCACUGGAUGCAAGGCUGUGAAUCUCUUGUAUGAUGCAUGUGUGGAAAAGAAACCCAACAUCCGGUGCACAUGCCUGCUUGAAACAGUCGGGCAUAUCCCAUUAGUUGAGUGCCCCCGUGUCGGCAUUUGCUGAUGUGAUCCCAGCUAUCUUCACCCAUUACAUUCUGCUGAAUUUACUGCAGCCACCCUUUGGAAAAAUAACACAUGGCAAUUAUUUCAAGGUAAUUAGUUCUCCCAUACAGAAAAAAUACCAUUAGCAGUACUCGUGGGUGAUAAUCUGCCACUUUGCAAUGGUGGCGAGCAUAAAUACCACUAGCUGUAGUAACACCAGUUUUGAAAUUAGGAAGCAACUUUCUUGCAGCUAGACUUUAUGUGUACUAUGUUUCAUGCAACGUCAGUGUUCAGAAUAAAAGCAUUUGACCACUGCA